UCUGGUGAUAAAGAAUCACCUAUAUAUGAAGCAUGCAUGAAAAAAUGUAUAAACUUAUAUGUAUCUAUCAUGUAUAUUUUUACACAGUUGUGUGUAUAUGCUAAUAUGCGUGUUUAUAUGAUCAUGAAUACGUUGCCUUAUUUGCUCGGGCUAGCUAAUGACCAGGGCCGUCCCGGCUAGGUCCUUGGGGCAGCAUCUCCAUCCACGUCGCCAUGGCUGCUUUCGCCUUCUCGACCAUGCUCGGGUAUGCCAAGUAGCUUGGCCCAUCGAAACAGUCCGGUGCCGGCCUCGCCGCUUCGACGCUAGGCACACUUGUCAUCAUCGCAACCAUCACGACGAAAAUGACGAACAACACUGCAUGGCUCCUUCGGAAAUCCAUCGCUCCGUUCAGCUUAUGGAGUUCAGAACAAGCAAUUAAUAGAGGUUUGAGGAGAAGAGAUGAGGAUAGAUGAAGGUAACAAGAGGUUGUUUGUUAUACUGGCUAUGAGCUUUUUCUGAGACCUUCAGGUAGGCUGCUGGCUGCUGAGGAGGGAAUAUGAAAGGAAUACUCGCUGUGGG
rnacentral:lncRNA from 1 species